GAUGAACGCUGGCGGCGUGCCUAAUACAUGCAAGUCGAGCGAACGGACGAGAAGCUUGCUUCUCUGAUGUUAGCGGCGGACGGGUGAGUAACACGUGGAUAACCUACCUAUAAGACUGGGAUAACUUCGGGAAACCGGAGCUAAUACCGGAUAAUAUUUUGAACCGCAUGGUUCAAAAGUGAAAGACGGUCUUGCUGUCACUUAUAGAUGGAUCCGCGCUGCAUUAGCUAGUUGGUAAGGUAACGGCUUACCAAGGCAACGGUGCAUAGCCGACCUGAGAGGGUGAUCGGCCACACUGGAACUGAGACGCAGUCCAGACUCCUACGGGAGGCAGCAGUAGGGAAUCUUCCGCGAUGGGCGAAAGCCUGACGGAGCAACGCCGCGUGAGUGAUGAAGGUCUUCGGAUCGUAGAACUCUGUUAUUAGGGAAGAACAUAUGUGUAAGUAACUGUGCACAUCUUGACGGUACCUAAUCAGAAAGCCACGGCUAACUACGUG
rnacentral:rRNA from 1 species